rnacentral:lncRNA from 1 species
GUCUCUUUCUCAGCUGUUAGUGGCUGGUUGCCAGUGCCAAGAGCACUUGGGGGUACAGAAAUUACAGACUUUUCACAGCAGGAAUUCCGUUGUUGUUGGAACUAAUGUAGUAGGGAGAUUCUGACACAGUAGGAAAUUAGGUUAUAAAACCAAAAGAUCCCUCCAAGUUUAGGAUGUAGGGAUACAUUGAAUGCCACUUGUCCAAGGGGACAAGCAGGGAGGGAACUUAUGUUGGGUUGACCAAAACAUUUGUUUGGAUUUUUCCAUAAAAUGCUACGGAAGAACCUGAAUGAUCAUUUUUGCCAAACCAAUAUGUUCUUUGUUGUAUAGUGCUUUACUGCUCAUAUGUAACUCUUACCAAUGCUUGAUUCUCAUAGGUCACCUCGGAGAAGAAAACGAAAUGAUUGUCCCUUUUUAGAACUGAGGAAAGGCAGGCCUGCCAAGUGCUCAUUAACCCAGAUCUUUGGGUGUUGCCUAAGGGGCCUGGAAUGGAGUGUAACCCUGGAGAAAGAUGACCACAGCUAAGAAAAUUGCAAAAAAAAUUCCUAUUGUCUUAGUUCGGAUUCUUCCAAGACAGAUCCUGAGAUGAGGCUGCAUGUGCACAUGAUUUAUUUGGGAGAUGAUCCCAAGUAUGGUAAGAGAUUGAGAAAAUGAGGGGAAGGAAGAAAUUCAAUAAAAUGGGAAGCCUGUAGUCAAUUGAACUGCUACUCUGGCGGGGUAGGGUGCUCUGAGAGAACAGGGGGAACGUCCUUAGAAUCGAUGGGCCUACCAAGCUGGAAGGAAACUGGGGUAUUUAUCCAGCAACUCUCAUCCCUCACUGGUUGAGGUCUGUCUUGUAAUGCUACUCUUUGGGGCUGCCCCGGGGGAAGGCAGAGCAGACCCUACAGCCAGACCAUACCUGCAGGCAAGACACAGCACGUGGUUGGUAUAGGAACUCACUGUAGGAGGUC